rnacentral:lncRNA from 1 species
CAGGCAGCUGCGGGACCGCUAUAGCCGGCCCUGCGCUCGGGCCCUUCCCGGGCAGGAAACGCGUCGCUGUCCCCGGCUGCGCCCAGGCCAGCGGGCACAGCAGCUGCGAACCGCCGGCGCACCACCUGUUUCCGCGCCCGGGGACUUCCCCGGCGGGGCUCAGAAGUGUGGGGUCGGUCGCUUGGCUUCCCCUGGCGUCGGCGACCCAGGGUAACCUCCUCCACUGCUGCGUGCCGUGCAGGCCUGCCUGUGUGAGAGCCACGUGUGCCGCGCUCUGGGCACAGCCUUGGAAAGUCAGGACCGCGACGGCAGCAGAGCACACAUGUUGCCCUUAAUCAAAUGGAAGAAUCAUGACAACUUGGCCUUUUAUGAAAGUAUUUUUUACAAGAUAAGACGUAUUCUGUGAGGCAUUUAAAGGACUGCAGAAAGGAG